UCAAACGACUCUCGGCAACGGAUAUCUCGGCUCUUGCAUCGAUGAAGAACGUAGCGAAAUGCGAUACUUGGUGUGAAUUGCAGAAUCCCGUGAACCAUCGAGUCUUUGAACGCAAGUUGCGCCCGAGGCCAUUAGGUCGAGGGCACGCCUGCCUGGGCGUCACA
rnacentral:rRNA from 1 species